rnacentral:rRNA from 1 species
AAUCCAUAGGUUAAUGAGGCGAACCGGGGGAACUGAAACAUCUAAGUACCCCGAGGAAAAGAAAUCAACCGAGAUUCCCCCAGUAGCGGCGAGCGAACGGGGAGGAGCCCAGAGCCUGAAUCAGCAUGUGUGUUAGUGGAAGCGUCUGGAAAGGCGCGCGAUACAGGGUGACAGCCCCGUACACAAAAGCGCAUGUGCUGUGAGCUCGAUGAGUAGGGCGGGACACGUGGUAUCCUGUCUGAAUAUGGGGGGACCAUCCUCCAAGGCUAAAUACUCCUGACUGACCGAUAGUGAACCAGUACCGUGAGGGAAAGGCGAAAAGAACCCCGGCGAGGGGAGUGAAAAAGAACCUGAAACCGUGUACGUACAAGCAGUGGGAGCACCCUUUGGGGUGUGACUGCGUACCUUUUGUA